rnacentral:lncRNA from 1 species
ACAAGAUUAAGGAGAAGCUACCAGGGCACAAGAAGACCGAGGAGGUUGCUUCUCCUCCGCCACCGGCACCACCUGCGGCGACCUCAUCAGAACACGGUGAGGGUGGUCAUCAUGAAGGAGAAGGGAAGGAGAAGAAAGGUAUAUUGGAGAAGAUAAAGGAGAAGCUUCCUGGUUACCACUCCAAAACAGAGGAGGAGAAAGAAAAGGAGAGUGGUGGUCACUGAGAUUGAGACAAGGCUUCUUUGUUGUUGGGUUUGUUGGAGAU